AUUGAACGCUGGCGGCAGGCCUAACACAUGCAAGUCGAGCGAGCGGCGGACGGGUGCGGACUGUAUGGGGACUGCCCGAUAGCGGGGGAUAACUACGGGAAACGGUAGCUAAUACCGCAUACUAUCGGCUACCCCAUAUGGGAUUAGCUAGUAGGUGAGGUAAUGGCUCACCUAGGCGAUGAUCCCUAGCUGGUCUGAGAGGAUGAUCAGCCACACUGGGACUGAGAAACGGCCCAGACUCCUACGGAGGCAGCAGUGGGGAAUAUUGCACAAUGGACGCAAGCCGGAUGCAGCCAUGCCGCGUGUAUGAAGAAGGCCCUAGGGUUGUAAAAUACUUUCAGUCGGGAGGCGGUACCGACAGAAGAAGCACCGGCUAACUCCGUGCCAGCAGCCGCGGUAAUUC
rnacentral:rRNA from 1 species